GGACAAUGGGCGCAAGCCUGAUCCAGCCAUGCCGCGUGGGUGAAGAAGGCCUUCGGGUUGUAAAGCCCUUUUGUUGGGAAAGAAAAGCAGUCGGUUAAUACCCGAUUGUUCUGACGGUACCCAAAGAAUAAGCACCGGCUAACUUCGUGCCAGCAGCCGCGGUAAUACGAAGGGUGCAAGCGUUACUCGGAAUUACUGGGCGUAAAGCGUGCGUAGGUGGUGGUUUAAGUCUGUUGUGAAAGCCCUGGGCUCAACCUGGGAAUUGCAGUGGAUACUGGGUCACUAGAGUGUGGUAGAGGGUAGCGGAAUUCCCGGUGUAGCAGUGAAAUGCGUAGAGAUCGGGAGGAACAUCCGUGGCGAAGGCGGCUACCUGGACCAACACUGACACUGAGGCACGAAAGCGUGGGGAGCAAACAGGAUUAGAUACCCUGGUAGUCCACGCCCUAAACGAUGCGAACUGGAUGUUGGGUGCAAUUUGGCACGCAGUAUCGAAGCUAACGCGUUAAGUUCGCCGCCUG
rnacentral:rRNA from 1 species